GAUGAACGCUGGCGGCGUGCCUAAUACAUGCAAGUCGAGCGAACAGACGAGGAGCUUGCUCCUCUGACGUUAGCGGCGGACGGGUGAGUAACACGUGGAUAACCUACCUAUAAGACUGGGAUAACUUCGGGAAACCGGAGCUAAUACCGGAUAAUAUAUUGAACCGCAUGGUUCAAUAGUGAAAGACGGUUUUGCUGUCACUUAUAGAUGGAUCCGCGCCGCAUUAGCUAGUUGGUAAGGUAACGGCUUACCAAGGCGACGAUGCGUAGCCGACCUGAGAGGGUGAUCGGCCACACUGGAACUGAGACACGGUCCAGACUCCUACGGGAGGCAGCAGUAGGGAAUCUUCCGCAAUGGGCGAAAGCCUGACGGAGCAACGCCGCGUGAGAGAUGAAGGUCUUCGGAUCGUAAAACUCUGUUAUUAGGGAAGAACAAAUGUGUAAGUAACUAUGCACGUCUUGACGGUACCUAAUCAGAAAGCUACGGCUAACUACGUG
rnacentral:rRNA from 1 species